GCAUCUUUCAGACCAUAGUCAAUAAGAACUCUCCUACUCUGGACUUCAAUAAAAAAAAGCCAAUGGAAGUCAGCUGUGGCAAAAGUGACUGAAAGAAUAAAUCAAGAAGGAACAAGACAGAAGGCUCCCCUGCUCUGACACCGCCAUCUGCGAGGACUCUGCCCAAUCUUCCGUAUGCGGCUGCCCUGCUGGAAAUCUUCCCCCUCGCGCUUGAACACUCUCCCAAUUGGAGCUCUCAUAAUCUUCACAUCCUUUCUUCCCAAGGUUAAAUACUUCAAAUCUCAUGACCUGAUAUCCAUAUGCAUCAUCCUUGAAUUAAUACAAUUAUUCUCUAUGUCUAUAUCUGUUGCAUUUUACUGAAGAAAAAUAACAAAGCAGACAGAUCAGCUCCUCUAUAAAUAUGGACAGCGAAUUCAGUUUAAAUCUUUGUGCUCUCAGCAGUCCUGCUAUGUUUACUAGCCAGCCUCUCUCCCAGUCUCCACUGGGGAGAUUUAAAACAUAUGUACUCUUUUCAGCUAUUCUCCACCUCACUGCAAGACACAUCCAUUGUGACUUCCCUUUCCUCUCAACAAGUCUCUAAAUGGAUAGUCAUUUUCACCCACUCAUUUCCUUUCCAUUCCUGAUAAAAAGGAAUCCUUGCCUCUCCUUUUUCUGUUGUAUGAUGAUUCAUUAUCUACUUAUAGUCCAUUCUCUUUUAAAUAUGCUUGAAGCCAACAUAAAAAUAAAUUAAAACUCUCUUCCAUCAUUCAUUCUCCUCUGGCUAUUUCUUUAGCUCUAGUGUCCACUUUAAUGCUAUAAUCUUUGACAAACGUUUCUGUGCAUGUGAUUACCAUUUUGCUCCCCCCGUGUACUCUGAAAUAUCCCAUUAUUAACCAAAUGUCCCAAUAACAAGUAGACCACAAAAUCAUUGCUAUUCUAGAAUUUUGAGACAAAGUUCUCAAAGAAAAUGGGAAGGAAAGACUGCUAAACUGGUUUAGCUGAGCAAUUACUAAUGUGCUUUUUGCACGAAAUUUAGAAAUACGUCAUUGGCUGUUUAAUGACUGCCAGUACAGUCUGACAAAGUGAAUUAUAAUCUUCUCGAAACUUGAUACCAUGUGUUAGAUUUAUGCAUUACUUUACUCAAUAAACUUAAGUGCUUAAUCAAUAUUUUAUGGGAGAGGAGAGAAUGUGUAUACAAAAAUGCAAGUGUCAAUACUGAGUCCUUAAGUACAGCCCCUCACAGACUUCUCAGCUCAAUACUAUCAUUAUAAGAGCACACCCUUCUUUUCUAGCGCACUGGGUUCACCUUCAGCUUACCUAGUUCAUAGAAUUUUUGCUGACACAAGGCAAGAUGAUAAUGAAAAUGCAUUGCAUUGCUUAAGGAAUAUUAAUAGGAAUUCCAUAUUUCAAAAGUUUUGUUAUUGCAUUAAUAGUUGUUUUCUUCCAAAAUAGCCUGAACUUCAGAAAGUCAGGUAUUAUCACCACUAAUCCAUAGAAGAAAGAACUGCCACCUAAGAAAGGUAAAUAACAUUGUAGGUGAAAUCAGGUCAUAUAUUCUAAUCAGUCACAAAUUGGACCUUGGGUUUUGGACUUCGAAUAUUGCUUUCUUUCUACCUCAUCAAUCAGGGCAGCUCCGCCAGGUGGUUUCUUAUGCUUCUUCCAGUCAAUGUGCCAACUUUAGAAGUUCUAGUCGAGAGGCUGAGGAAAUUUCAGUACUGAGGCAAAGAAGCAUCUACGAGGCAGCAACAGCAGAUGGCAAUCAGCCUACAGCUCCAGAAAGCCAAGAAAGACGAGCAGGCUGUAAAGAGAAGGAACAUGACCAAUCUCUCACCUGACUCAGUUUCAGGAAAGCUCACCAAAUUGGUCAGCUUCCCCCUGCAUGAAAUAAUCAAUGGUGUGACUCCUCGGACCCAGAGCUAUGUGUCCAGGCCACUCAGGCAGCCAGGAAAAUGCUGUCUCAAGAAAGAAGCCCUCCUCUAAAAUAGAUUGUUGAAGCAAGGCUCGUUCUCAUGCUGCUGGAGCUCCUGAAGUCAUGGCUUCACCACUGCUUGCGGUUGAGGCAGCCUGGGCUCUGACCAGCACAGCUUCAUUGACUUUGGAGCAGACACCAGCUGUUGUGGACGGAGUGCCAUCCAGCCCUUGAGUGAGCUUCUGUCUUCCCCUGGUGUGACUGUUUGUGAACAGGUAAUGUGGGUUCUUGGUAACAGAGCAGGUGACAGCUGAGAAUUCAGAGACAUCGUCCUCUUGAGCAAUGCUGUCCCACAUCUGCUGGCCCUGGUUUUUCAUCAACCAUACCCAUCCCAUUUCUGUAGAACAUCAUGUGGACCUUGUCCACACUGGAGCAAAACAACAACCGGUACUCUUGUGAAAAAGUGGUCAAGUAAAUGUUGUUACUCCUCUUCCACC
rnacentral:lncRNA from 1 species